rnacentral:rRNA from 1 species
ACUCCUACGGGAGGCAGCAGUGGGGAAUAUUGCACAAUGGGCGCAAGCCUGAUGCAGCCAUGCCGCGUGUAUGAAGAAGGCCUUCGGGUUGUAAAGUACUUUCAGCAGUGAGGAAGGUGGAGUCGUUAAUGAGGCGCCUUCAUUGACGUUAGCUGCAGAAGAAGCACCGGCUAACUCCGUGCCAGCAGCCGCGGUAAUACGGAGGGUGCGAGCGUUAAUCGGAAUUACUGGGCGUAAAGCGCAUGCAGGUGGUUUGUUAAGUCAGAUGUGAAAGCCCGGGGCUCAACCUCGGAAUAGCAUUUGAAACUGGCAGACUAGAGUACUNUAGAGGGGGUAGAAUUUCAGGUGUAGCGGUGAAAUGCGUAGAGAUCUGAAGGAAUACCGGUGGCGAAGGCGGCCCCCUGGACAGAUACUGACACUCAGAUGCGAAAGCGUGGGGAGCAAACAGGAUUAGAUACCCUGGUAGCUACG